rnacentral:rRNA from 1 species
GAUGAACGCUGGCGGCGUGCCUAAUACAUGCAAGUCGAGCGAACAGAUGGGGAGCUUGCUCCUCUGACGUUAGCGGCGGACGGGUGAGUAACACGUGGAUAACCUACCUAUAAGACUGGGAUAACUUCGGGAAACCGGAGCUAAUACCGGAUAAUAUAUUGAACCGCAUGGUUCAAUAGUGAAAGACGGUUUUGCUGUCACUUAUAGAUGGAUCCGCGCCGCAUUAGCUAGUUGGUAAGGUAACGGCUUACCAAGGCAACGAUGCGUAGCCGACCUGAGAGGGUGAUCGGCCACACUGGAACUGAGACACGGUCCAGACUCCUACGGGAGGCAGCAGUAGGGAAUCUUCCGCAAAGGGCGAAAGCCUGACGGAGCAACGCCGCGUGAGUGAUGAAGGUCUUCGGAUCGUAAAACUCUGUUAUUAGGGAAGAACAAAUGUGUAAGUAACUAUGCACGUCUUGACGGUACCUAAUCAGAAAGCCACGGCUAACUACGUG